GAUAAAAUCACCACUAUCAUUCUCUUUCGCUCUGAAGGUCGCCAAAAUUGUGGUGUACGGUCUUCGUCUCUAAUUACCCUCAUCAAGAUGUCCCUGACUGGAUCGCUGGUUCGGCUGGUGCCGGCGGCGGCUCGCGCCCAGGCCCGCUCGUACGUGGUGUCGGGACCGCCGCGCGUGCGCAUGUCGCGCGCCGAGAAGUUCGCGCACGGCGUGGUGCUGUUCGGUGGCGUGAUGGCCGUGCCCGCCUGGAUCCUCGUUCACAUCAAGGACUACCGGGGAGCGCUCGACGAAUAGGCGAGACACACGGGUAAUUUAAGAAGACUGUACGAUUUGUGCGCCGGGUGCAAGAAUGCUGUGGCUAUAACCAUGUAUCAUCCGUGGGAUGUCCAAACGGAAUAAUUGUGACGUCUCAAUACACCACAAACAGAGA